GGUUGGAUAGCUCAGCUGGUAGAGCGAUGGUUUGAAGAACCAUGCGUCGUCGGUUCGAUCCCGGCUCCAACCACCA
rnacentral:tRNA from 1 species